rnacentral:rRNA from 1 species
AACGAACGCUGGCGGCAGGCCUAACACAUGCAAGUCGAGCGAGGACUUCGGUCCUAGCGGCGGACGGGUGAGUAACGCGUGGGAACGUGCCCUUUGCUUCGGAAUAGCCCUGGGAAACUGGGAGUAAUACCGGAUGAGCCCUUUGGGGGAAAGAUUUCUCGGCGAAGGAUCGGCCCGCGUUGGAUUAGGUAGUUGGUGGGGUAAUGGCCUACCAAGCCGACGAUCCAUAGCUGGUUUGAGAGGAUGAUCAGCCACACUGGGACUGAGACACGGCCCAGACUCCUACGGGAGGCAGCAGUAGGGAAUCUUAGACAAUGGGGGAAACCCUGAUCUAGCCAUGCCGCGUGAGCGAUGAAGGCCUUAGGGUUGUAAAGCUCUUUCAGCUGGGAAGAUAAUGACGGUACCAGCAGAAGAAGCCCCGGCUAACUCCGUG